CCAGACUCCUACGGGAGGCAGCAGUGGGGAAUAUUGGACAAUGGACCGAGAGUCUGAUCCAGCAAUUCUGUGUGCACGAUGAAGUUUUUCGGAAUGUAAAGUGCUUUCAGUUGGGAAGAAAGAAAUGACGGUACCAACAGAAGAAGUGACGGCUAAAUACGUGCCAGCAGCCGCGGUAAUACGUAUGUCACGAGCGUUAUCCGGAUUUAUUGGGCGUAAAGCGCGUCUAGGUGGUUAUAUAAGUCUGAUGUGAAAAUGCAGGGCUCAACUCUGUAUUGCGUUGGAAACUGUAUAACUAGAGUACUGGAGAGGUAAGCGGAACUACAAGUGUAGAGGUGAAAUUCGUAGAUAUUUGUAGGAAUGCCGAUGGGGAAGCCAGCUUACUGGACAGAUACUGACGCUGAAGCGCGAAAGCGUGGGUAGCAAACAGGAUUAGAUACCCUGGUAGUCCACGCUGUAAACGAUGAUUACUAGGUGUUGGGGGUCGAACCUCAGCGCCCAAGCAAACGCGAUAAGUAAUCCGCCUGGGGAGUACGUACGCAAGUAUGAAACUCAAAGGAAUUGACGGGGCCCGCACAAG
rnacentral:rRNA from 1 species